rnacentral:lncRNA from 1 species
AAGCGAAAUUCAGUGCAGGGGUAAAAUGGUAAUUUUAAAAAUUUUUCAAAAUUAUGAUUUUAUAGUAAAAAAUAUUAAUUAAUCUAAUUAAUUAAUAUGAGUUUACCCUACACUAGGAUCUAAAUAUGAUAUACAGCAGGCAUGCAUUUAAAUUUAAAAUUCAAAUUUGAACAGUAAACACUUUAUUGUAAUGUGUUCAGAACACAAUACCUUUGUGCGGAUCCGCAAUCUGAUC